ACUUUACUCUUUUAUCUUCGAAAUCCACGAUUAUUAGCGGCUGCUCUCUUGUUUCGCCAGAUCCAAAUUUCUCACAAUCAACAAAUCUCCCUUUCAUCUUUCAUUUUCAUUUACGAACAACGGUUAAAUUGCGCCCGGUAACGUCAGGGUGGAGCAGGAGCAGGAGCAGUUUGUGUGUUGGUAGAGGUUGUUUUGUUUCUACUGAUCUGUGGAGGUAGGUGUCGAUAAUCAUAAGUUUGAACAUGAGUUCAUACAGCAGGAGCCGGAGCCGGAGUCCCAUGGAUCGUAAGAUCCGAUCUGAUCGCUUUUCUUACCGUAAUGCACCCUACAGGAGGGAGUCUCGUCGGGGUUUCAGCCAAAACAAUCUAUGCAAGAACUGCAAACAACCAGGUCAUUAUGCUAGAGAGUGCCCUAAUGUGGCAAUUUGUCACAACUGUAAUCUCCCUGGGCACAUUGCUUCGGAAUGCACGACCAAGUCUUUAUGCUGGAACUGCCGUGAACCUGGGCACACAGCAAGCCACUGUCCAAAUGAGGGAAUCUGCCACACCUGCGGGAAGUCUGGGCAUCGGGCCAGAGACUGCACUGCACCCCCGAUGCCACCUGGGGACGUGAGGUUAUGCAACAAUUGCUAUAAGCCCGGUCAUAUCGCUGCUGACUGUACAAAUGAUAAGGCAUGCAAUAACUGUAGGAGGCCAGGUCACUUGGCACGUGAUUGUACAAGCGACCCUAUCUGCAACCUGUGCAAUGUAGCUGGACAUAUGGCUAGGCAUUGCCCAAAAGGCAACAUGAUCGGAGAUCGAAGCGGCGGCAGGCGGGGCAGUGGCGGGAGCGGUGGUUACCGAGACCAUCGAGAUAUUGUUUGUCGUAACUGCCAUCAGCUUGGUCAUAUGAGCCGAGAUUGCAUGGGGCCUUUGAUGAUCUGCCACAACUGCGGCGGAAGAGGACACAUGGCGUACGAGUGCCCUUCUGGGAGGUAUUUGGACCGCUACCCUAGGAGGUACUGAUGAUCCAUGCAACUCGUGGCGGCUGCAAUUUAUAUUAGCAUUAUGCUUUAAUUUGUGAUUGAAUUCAGUGUAGUGAUUUGCCGGAGUUUGUUGAAGUAAGCAUACAUAUUAUUCAUUAGUUAGUUUUGAUUAUGACGCACUGUUGUGUAUCAUAAUAAGAAGCUUUAUUAAUGGCUAAACUUGGUGAUUGAUUUCCGGUC